rnacentral:misc_RNA from 1 species
AUUUAUAAUUACUUUCCUACUAUUAAAUGUCUAUUAGAAUAAUGGACAAAUGCAGACUCUGCAUGAAUAACCGAAAAAAAUUAUAUUCAAUAUUUGAUACUGAUAAUGGAAUCUCUUAUGCUGAAAUGACAACUUCUAUCGCUAAUGUGAAGAUCAUGAAAGAAGACGGAAUUACAGAAAAAAUAUGCAUCUUAUGUCGUAGAAAAGUAAAAGAAAUGUUUGACUUUAAAAAUAUGAUUGAAUCAUCUGAUUUAACUUUACAUGCCUGUGAUAAUUUAAAGAGAAUAAACUUUUGUAACUUAAAUGAAAUUAAAGUCAAAUUCGAGUUUACUGGUGGAAAUUAUAUUGAAAGAAAUAAAUGUUUUUCAAAAUUUGAAAAAAUUAUCACUGGGUGCUUUGAAAACGGAGAAAAUGCAGUUUGUUAUAAAGAUGUUGUUAUAAAAAAAAUUGUAGCAAAUGAUGAUUGUAGAAAUGAUGGGGAUUUUAUUAAUAAAGAAGAUAAACCCCUGGAUGUUUUUGAUUUUCUUAAUACACUUAAAGAUGAGCCAACUUAUGACUAUGACAAUAAUUGUCUUGUGGAUGAUUACAACCAAGAAACUUAUGAUAAUGAUGAAAUAUUUGUUCCUUUUAUAAAAGGUUUAAAAAAGAAAAAACGUAAGAAACAUAAGAAAGUCAAAGAUUUAGAAACUAAUUUUAAUAACAAGGAUCACUUCAUCAAAGUUCGCAUUAAGCCAGUAUUUUUAGAAGAUAUAAGAUUAAUUAGAACAAAAAAGAAUAAAGAAAAUGUAAAAAAGAAAUACAAAAAUAAUAAAAUACACAUGUGCAAUUACUGUGGAAAAAUGACAAAAUCUAUUAAAUCGCAUUUAUUGGUACAUACUGGCGAAAGAGUACAUAAAUGCAAUAUGUGUACAAGAGCUUUCUUCACUCUUCAUAAUUUGCAACAUCACAUGAAAAGACAUCUAACAGAAAAUAUGUACAAAUGUGAGCAAUGUUUGGCAAAAUUCAAUAACAAAGAAUCUCUAAAGAGGCACAAUGUGGUUCAUGAAAAUGAGAAAAGAUUUUUAUGUAACAUCUGUAAUAAAGGAUUUAAAAGGAAAUAUUCCCUAGGAAGACACAUCCAAGGACAUAAUUCUGCAAAUAAAAGUGUUCAGUGUGAGCUGUGUAAUAUGUCAUUUUUUUCCAAAUAUAGUUUGAAUAAUCAUAUGCGUGUACAUACUAGAGAAAGACCAUAUAAAUGCGAGAUAUGUUCACAACCCUAUAGUUACAAGCACGACUUCAAUCAACACUGUUUGAAAAAACAUGGCGUAUACUUUAAACGACGAUCCGUGUACGUAAUGAACGAUGAAGUUUUAAGAAAAGAACGAGAACUAAUGAAAGAGUUAAUGCUUAGAGUACACGGAGUUGUUGAUGACGAAGAGCCAUUUAAAGCUUUUCAAGGCCCACAGGCGCAUAUGGCUUUGGAACAAUUACUUAAACUUUUACAAGAAAAACAGAUCCCUAUAGAUUUUCAUUUUUGAAUGUUUUGUAAUUAAUUAUACAUUCAGGGAAUGAUUGUUUAUGAAAACAGAGAUUGGAUUAGUUAUUAUAAGCAUGACAUACCUACUAGGGAUUUUAUUUCAAGCUAAUGGACCUUUUCUUUGACCUAUCAAUCAAUUUUGCCUAUAAAAGGAAGGGUGAAUGUUGACUAUUUCAUUAGUAUACUUUCGAGAUUCGUAGCAAGCAGUAAUCGUCA